AUUGAACGCUGGCGGAAUGCUUUACACAUGCAAGUCGAACGGUAGAGGGGGCAACCCCUCGAGAGUGGCGAACGGGUGAGUAAUAUAUCGGAACGUGCCCAGUCGUGGGGGAUAACGUAGCGAAAGUUACGCUAAUACCGCAUACGAUCUAAGGAUGAAAGCGGGGGAUCGCAAGACCUCGCGCGAUUGGAGCGGCCGAUAUCAGAUUAGGUAGUUGGUGGAGUAAAGGCUCACCAAGCCAACGAUCUGUAGCUGGUCUGAGAGGACGACCAGCCACACUGGAACUGAGACACGGUCCAGACUCCUACGGGAGGCAGCAGUGGGUAAUUUUGGACAAUGGACGCAAGUCUGAUCCAGCCAUUCCGCGUGCAGGAUGAAGGCCCUCGGGUUGUAAACUGCUUUUGUACGGAACGAAAAGGUCUCUCUUAAUACGGGGGACUCAUGACGGUACCGUAAGAAUAAGCACCGGCUAACUACGUGCCAGCCGCCGCAGUAA
rnacentral:rRNA from 1 species